rnacentral:piRNA from 1 species
CACAGAAGCAGGCUGGAACUUGGUUGGUAU